rnacentral:rRNA from 1 species
GACGAACGCUGGCGGCGUGCUUAACACAUGCAAGUCGAACGAAAAUACCAAGCUUGCUUGGUUGAUUCGUGGCGAACGGGUGAGUAACACGUGAGUAACCUGCCCCUUACUUUCCUGGAUAACUGCUCGAAAGGGUAGCUAAUACGGGAUAUUAUGUCCAGCCUGCCUGGGUUGGUUUGGAAAGGUUGUUUUUCUGGUAAGGGAUGGGCUCGCGGCCUAUCAGCUUGUUGGUGGGGUGAUGGCCUACCAAGGCGUGGACGGGUAGCCGGCCGGAGGGGGUGGACGGUCAGACUGGGACUGGGGUACGGCCCAGACUCCUACGGGAGGCAGCAGUGGGGAAUGUUGCAGAAGGGGCGCUAGCCUGAUGCAGCGACGCCGCGUGAGGGAUGAAGGCCUUCGGGAUGUAAACCUCUUUCGUCAGGGAACAAGGCACUGCUUUUUUGGUGGUGUUGAGGGUACCUGGAUAAGAAGCGCCGGCUAACUACGUG